UACGAAGGGGGCUAGCGUUGUUCGGAAUUACUGGGCGUAAAGGGCGCGUAGGCGGUUCGAUAAGUCCCGUGUGAAAGCCCCCGGCUCAACUGGGGAACUGCACGGGAAACUGACGGACUUGAGUUCGGGAGAGGGAAGCGGAAUUCCGGGUGUAGCGGUGAAAUGCGUAGAUAUCCGGAGGAACACCGGUGGCGAAGGCGGCUUCCUGGACCGACACUGACGCUGAGGCGCGAAAGCUAGGGGAGCAAACGGG
rnacentral:rRNA from 1 species